rnacentral:rRNA from 1 species
AGUAGUUUGACUCCGUGGCUCAGGACGAACGCUGGCGGCACGCCUAACACAUGCAAGUCGAACGGAGAAUAUUGAGCUUGCUUAAUAUUCUUAGUGGCGGACGGGUGAGUAACACGUGAGCAACCUGCCUCUGAGAGAGGGAUAGCUUCUGGAAACGGAUGGUAAUACCUCAUAACAUACAUUGACCGCAUGAUUGAUGUAUCAAAGAUUUAUCACUCAGAGAUGGGCUCGCGUCUGAUUAGGUAGUUGGUGAGGUAACGGCUCACCAAGCCGACGAUCAGUAGCCGGACUGAGAGGUUGAACGGCCACAUUGGGACUGAGACACGGCCCAGACUCC